CACGUAGGCUGUUUGGUAAGUCAGGGGUGAAAUCCCGCGGCUCAACCGCGGAAUUGCCCUUGAUACUGCUGGACUUGAGCUUGGGAGAGGGUGGCGGAAUUCCAGGUGUAGGAGUGAAAUCCGUAGAUAUCUGGAGGAACAUCAGUGGCGAAGGCGGCCACCUGGACCGAUACUGACGCUGAGGUGCGAAAGCGUGGGGAGCAAACA
rnacentral:rRNA from 1 species